rnacentral:misc_RNA from 1 species
GAUGAAGAACGUAGCAAAAUGCGAUAAGUAAUGUGAAUUGCAGAAUUCCGUGAAUCAUCGAAUCUUUGAACGCACAUUGCGCCCUCUGGUAUUCCGGGGGGCAUGCCUGUCCGAGCGUCAUUUCAACCAUCAAGCCCCAGGCUUGUGUUGGAGCCCUGCGGCCGUCCGCAGCCUCCUAAAAUCAGUGGCGGGCUCGCUAUCACACCGAGUGCAGUAGUUUACUCUUCGCUCAGGACGUGUAGCGGGUUCCGGCCGUGAAACCCCCCAAUUUUCAAGGUUGACCUCGGAUCAGGUAGGAAUACCCGCUGAACUUAAGCAUAUCAAUAAGCGGAGGA